ensembl:snoRNA
UGCCUUAGUGUUGCCCGUUCAUUUUUCCUCAUGAUGAAUGAGGUGUCAUCUAAGGCACACAGUAAAUCUUCUCACAGCCUGAGCAUGAAAGUCUCAGUGACUCUCACAUCUUUUGCCAUGAGAAGAACAUUC